CCUACGGGAGGCAGCAGUAGGGAAUGUUCGUCAAUGGGCGCAAGCCUGAACGAGCAAUGCCGCGUGAACGAGGAAGGUCUUCGGAUCGUAAAGUUCUGUUGAAGGGGAAAAAGAGCGGAGAGAGGAAAUGGUCUCCGAUUGAUAUUACCCUUCGAGGAAGUCACGGCUAACUACGUGCCAGCAGCCGCGGUAAUACGUAGGUGGCGAGCGUUAUCCGGAAUGAUUGGGCGUAAAGGGUGCGUAGGCGGCCUGCUAAGUCUGGAGUGAAAGGUACCGGCUCAACCGGUACAGGCUCUGGAAACUGGCGGGCUAGAGAGCAGGAGAGGGCGGUGGAACUCCAUGUGUAGCGGUAAAAUGCGUAGAUGUAUGGAAGAACACCAGUGGCGAAGGCGGCCGCCUGGCCUGUUGACUGACGCUGAGGCACGAAAGCGUGGGGAGCAAAUAGGAUUAGAUACCCGAGUAGUC
rnacentral:rRNA from 1 species